rnacentral:rRNA from 1 species
GAAGACCCUAUGGAGCUUUAAACAACAUAGCAAUUGUUGCAUCAAUAUAAAACUUUUCUGAAUAUUUAGAUCUUAUUAAACAAUUUGACUAUAAGUUUUUGGUUGGGGUGACCGCGGAGCAUAACACAACCUCCAUGUUGAAAGAACCUUCUUCUAAGCUAAGAACUACCCAUCUAAGCAUCAAUACAUUGACAUUCAUUGACCCAAUACACUUGAUCAACGAACCAAGUUACCCUAGGGAUAACAGCGCAAUCCACUUCAAGAGCUCCUAUCGACAAGUGGGUUUACGACCUCGAUGUUGGAUCAGGGUAUCCCAGUGGUGCAGCCGCUACUAAAGGUUCGUUUGUUC